rnacentral:misc_RNA from 1 species
GAUGAAGAACGCAGCGAAAUGCGAUAACUAAUGUGAAUUGCAGAAUUCAGUGAAUCAUCGAAUCUUUGAACGCACAUUGCGCCCAUUAGUAUUCUAGUGGGCAUGCCUGUUCGAGCGUCAUUUCAACCCUCAAGCCUUAGUUGCUUGGUGUUGGGAGCUUAUCUUGCCGAAAGGCGGGACAACUCCUUAAAUUUAUCGGCGGAGUCGCGGUGACCCCAAGCGUAGUAAAUUAUUUUUUCCUCGCUUUAGGUGUUAACGCUGGCUUUUCUAGCCGUUAAACCCCCCCUAAUAUUUUAAUGGUUGACCUCGGAUCAGGUAGGACUACCCGCUGAACUUAAGCAUAUCAAUAAGCGGAGGA